rnacentral:rRNA from 1 species
UGCGCAGGUGGGCUUGUAAGUCAGUGAUGAAAUCCUGCAGCUCAACUGUAGAACUGUCAUUGAUACUGAUUUUCUUGAAUUUAGUUGAGGUAGGCGGAAUGUGUAAUGUAGCGGUGAAAUGCUUAGAUAUUACACAGAACACCGAUUGCGAAGGCAGCUUACUAAGCUAACAUUGACGCUGAGGCACGAAAGCGUGGGGAGCGAACAGGAUUAGAUACCCUGGUAGUCU